UACGUAGGGGGCAAGCGUUAUCCGGAUUUAUUGGGUUUAAAGGGUGCGUAGGCGGGCAUUUAAGCCGGCGGUCAAAUGUCGGGGCUCAACCCCGGCCUGCCGUCGGAACUGGGUGCCUUGAGUGGGCGAGAAGUAUGCGGAAUGCGUGGUGUAGCGGUGAAAUGCAUAGAUAUCACGCAGAACCCCGAUUGCGAAGGCAGCAUACCGGCGCCCUACUGACGCUGAGGCACGAAAGUGCGGGUAUCGAACAGG
rnacentral:rRNA from 1 species